GGGGUGCAGCAGGCGCGAACCUUCGCAAUGCGCGCAAGCGCGACGAGGUUAUUCUGAGUGAUUUCCGCUGAGGAAAUCUUUUCCUAGAUCUAAAAAGUCUGGGGAAUAAGGGGAGGGCAAGUCUGGUGUCAGCCGCCGCGGUAAUACCAGCUCCUCGAGUGGUCAGGGCGUUUAUUGGGCCUAAAGCAUCCGUAGCCGGCUCUGUAGGUCUCCUGUUAAAUCCAACGACUCAAUCGUUGGUCUGCAGGAGAUACCGCUGGGCUAGGAGGCGGGAGAGGCGGACGGUACUCCGAGGGUAGGGGUAAAAUCCUUUGAUCCCCGGAAGACCACCAGUGGCGAAGGCGGUCCGCCAGAACGCGCUCGACGGUGAGGGAUGAAAGCUGGGGGAGCGAACCGGAUUAGAUACCCGGGUAGUCCCAGCUGUAAACGAUGCAAGCUAGGUGACACGACGCCUUCGGGGCAUCGUGGUGCCGCAGGGAAGCCGUUAAGCUUGCCGCCUGGGGGAGUACGGACGCAAGUCUGAAACUUAAAGGAAUUGGCGGG
rnacentral:rRNA from 1 species